CCUCAGAAGUGGUACCGGGUGUUCUGGAAGGAUACCACACACUGCGGCCACUAUCACGCUCAAGUGAUUAAGCUUUACGGCACCGAGGAUAAUGCAAGGAAUGCAACAGAAAAACGACCAUCCAUUCCGCAGACCCGAUUGCGACUCCUCCGAUAGCUGCAGUUCAAAUGAAGUGGACAAUGAGUCGUUUAAAAACAAAGAACCUUGUCCUUUGCGGGUGUUGCAGC